GGGCGCUUAACUCAGCGGCAGAGUGGUACCUUCACACGGUACAAGUCGUAGGUUCAAUCCCUACAGCGCCCACCA
rnacentral:tRNA from 1 species